CUGUGUAUGGAUGAGAAAAAACUUAAUUACUCCAGCCAUGAGAUUUGAGGAACUGUUUCUUGCUACACCACAGUCUGUCCUACACAGAUCACAGGAAACUCAAGUAUUUCACAGAAUGAUGCCAAGGAGCGCAGUUUCUACACAAUCCCUCCCGAUCAGACCACAUCUAUUCCAAUCUCAGUCUCAAACUCUUCCCCUUUUUCAACUCACAUUAAUGAAUUCACUAAGUACCUAGCACUGAGAAUAAAAAGUUAAAGCAGCA